AAACCAGCACCUCAAGUGGUCAGGAGGAUUAUUGGGCCUAAAGCAUCCGUAGCCUGCUCUGUAAGUUUUCGGUUAAAUCUGUACGCUCAACGUACAGGCUGUCGGGAAUACUGCAGAGCUAGGGAGUGGGAGAGGUAGACGGUACUCGGGAGGAAGUGGUAAAAUGCUUUGAUCUCUCGAUGACCACCUGUGGCGAAGGCGGUCUACCAGAACACGUCCGACGGUGAGGGAUGAAAGCUGGGGGAGCAAACCGGAUUAGAAACCCCAGUAGUCC
rnacentral:rRNA from 1 species